AAUGAACGUUGGCGGCAUGGAUUAGGCAUGCAAGUCGGGGGAAUCCCAGCAAUGGGGGAACCGGCGUAAGGGGCAGUAAGGCAUGGGUACCUACCUUGGGGUUCGGGAUAGCCAUCAGAGAUGGUGGGUAAUACCGGAUGACGUCGUGAGACCAAAGAUUUAUCGCCCUUAGAGGGGCCCAUGUGAUAUUAGCUAGUUGGUGGGGUAACGGCCCACCAAGGCGAAGAUGUCUAGCGGGUGUGAGAGCACGACCCGCGCCCCCCGCACUGAGACACUGGCGAGACACCUACGGGUGGCUGCAGUCGAGGAUCUUCGGCAAUGAGCGCAAGCUUGACCGAGCGAUGCCGCGUGAGCGAUGAAGGCCUUCGGGUUGUAAAGCUCUUUAGUGGGGGAGAAAAGCCGCAAGGUGUGAUCUAUCCCAAAAAUAAGCACGGGCUAAGUUCGUGCCAGCAGCCGCCGCCG
rnacentral:rRNA from 1 species